AAAAAUUUAGUUAAAAUAUAAUAUGGGUUUGUCGUACCUAAGUUACUAAAUUUUAUUAGUAUUUUUUG
rnacentral:tRNA from 1 species